CCCUUCUGUCUGCCGACCUGCCUGUAUUUGGGAGAAGGGACCCGCCCACCUUAAUAAAGACUGGACCUUCUCUCUUCCAAUCCAGACAAAAGAAGAGGACGACAGAUCCGCGGCGGCGCGCACUGAGCAGAGCAUCUGAGCACCUUGGAGACUCCACGGGUUUGAUCCGACGCGCAAGAACGCACCGGCACAUCGACACACACGCCCCCAGGUCCACCUGAAACAUCCAAGGCGGUUCAUUGUCCUGUUUGAAGGCAGAGGAAAGAGAGUUUGAGACCCGGUUCAAUCGCAGCCAGAACACCGUGUUCCCAUGAUGUCAUACCUGUGGAUUCUGCUAUUAGGAAGCCUGCUGGCUGCAAGCGCCAAGGCACAAGAUGUAGACCCAGCAGAGGACGCAGCAGCUUCUGUAACUACGGCCCCUGAAGUAGACGCAGCACCAGAGGCUAAGGAAGAACCUGCCGCUGACGAGAAAACUGACAAUGCACCCGAGGAAACACCAGCAUUGACAGUCGAUCCUGAGCCCGUUGAUGAGAAUCGAGCCGAUGAAUUUGAAAUUGACGAAGCAGUGACUCCUGCUCCAGGAGACACAGAGGCGGAAGCACCUGCGACAACACAAGAGCCUGCAGCUGAGCCAGAGGUUAAGGAUCCUAAUGCUGAGGAAGCUACUGGAGAGGAGGAAACUACCCCAAGCACUGUUGCACCACCAGCUCAGGAGGAGAUUGAACCUGAAGCCACACCAGCAGCAGAUGUAGAUGUAGCAGAUAAUAAGGAAAACCCAACAGAUCCUGCUGCUGACGCACAAACAACAAACACCCCCGUCCACGUCCCUACAAGUAAGAAUAUAAAUCUGUACAAACCUUCAUGUUCUGCCUCUUGAAUAUAUAUAAUAAGCAGGAUUACAUGAUUUAAAUUCCAUGAAUUCAUCAUAUUUUUUAUAUUACUCUGUCAUUGCCAGAUAUACGUAUAUACAGUGUAGACAGAUAGAUGGAUGGAUGGAUGGACGGACAGACAGACAGACAGACAGACAGACAGACAGACAGACAGACAGACAGACAGACAGACAGACAGACAGACAGACAGACAGACAGACAGACAGAUAGAUAGAUAGAUAGAUAGAUAUAUGAACAAUUACAUUUUUAGAAGAGAAAACAGCUUCUCUGCUUCUGUAAUUGUUUUAAAGAUCAAAAUAACAGAAGAGUGUUCCACAGUUGUACUGUUGAUAAAGAUGUCACAUUUGUGUGAUGAUUUGAGAUGUUCGCAUCAAAGCAUGAU
rnacentral:lncRNA from 1 species